UCUUAUCCAGAGAGGUGGAGGGACUGGCCCUUUGAAGCCUCGGCAACAGGCAAUUUAUUGCACUGUGCCAAUUCCAGCAAGCUGUAGCUUGAAAGAUAAGG
rnacentral:ncRNA from 1 species